rnacentral:rRNA from 1 species
AGCGAACGCUGGCGGCAGGCUUAACACAUGCAAGUCGAGCGGGCGUAGCAAUACGUCAGCGGCAGACGGGUGAGUAACGCGUGGGAACAUACCUUUUGGUUCGGAACAACACAGGGAAACUUGUGCUAAUACCGGAUAAGCCCUUACGGGGAAAGAUUUAUCGCCGAAAGAUUGGCCCGCGUCUGAUUAGCUAGUUGGUGAGGUAACGGCUCACCAAGGCGACGAUCAGUAGCNGGUCUGAGAGGAUGAUCAGCCACAUUGGGACUGAGACACGGCCCAAACUCCUACGGGAGGCAGCAGUGGGGAAUAUUGGACAAUGGGCGCAAGCCUGAUCCAGCCAUGCCGCGUGAGUGAUGAAGGCCCUAGGGUUGUAAAGCUCUUUUGUGCGGGAAGAUAAUGACGGUACCGCAAGAAUAA